GCGGGUGUGGUGGAAUUGGUAGACGCGCCGGACUCAAAAUCCGGUUCCGUGAGGAGUGUCGGUUCGAGUCCGACCACCCGCACCA
rnacentral:tRNA from 1 species